rnacentral:rRNA from 1 species
GCUUACGGCCAUACCACCCUGAGCGCGCCCGAUCUCGUCUGAUCUCGGAAGCUAAGCAGGGUCGGGCCUGGUUAGUACCCGCCGUAGGGAACUACCGAGGUGCUGUAAGCU